rnacentral:rRNA from 1 species
GACGAACGCUGGCGGCGUGCUUAACACAUGCAAGUCGAACGGAAAGACCCUGCUUUUGUGGGGUGCUCGAGUGGCGAACGGGUGAGUAACACGUGAGUAACCUGCCCUUGACUUUGGGAUAACUUCAGGAAACUGGGGCUAAUACCGGAUAGGAGCUCCUGCUGCAUGGUGGGGGUUGGAAAGUUUCGGCGGUUGGGGAUGGACUCGCGGCUUAUCAGCUUGUUGGUGGGGUAGUGGCUUACCAAGGCUUUGACGGGUAGCCGGCCUGAGAGGGUGACCGGCCACAUGGGGACUGAGAUACGGCCCAGACUCCUACGGGAGGCAGCAGUGGGGAAUAUUGCACAAUGGGCGGAAGCCUGAUGCAGCAACGCCGCGUGCGGGAUGACGGCCUUCGGGGUGUAAACCGCUUUCGCCUGUGACGAAGCGUGAGUGACGGUAAUGGGUAAAGAAGCACCGGCUAACUACGUG